UAUCCUGUCUGAAUAUGGGGGGACCAUCCUCCAAGGCUAAAUACUCCUGACUGACCGAUAGUGAACCAGUACCGUGAGGGAAAGGCGAAAAGAACCCCGGCGAGGGGAGUGAAAAAGAACCUGAAACCGUGUACGUACAAGCAGUGGGAGCACCCUUUGGGGUGUGACUGCGUACCUUUUGUAUAAUGGGUCAGCGACUUAUAUUCUGUAGCAAGGUUAACCGAAUAGGGGAGCCGGAGGGAAACCGAGUCUUAACCGGGCGUUAAGUUGCAGGGUAUAGACCCGAAACCCGGUGAUCUAGCCAUGGGCAGGUUGAAGGUUGGGUAACACUAACUGGAGGACCGAACCGACUAAUGUUGAAAAAUUAGCGGAUGACCUGUGGCUGGGGGUGAAAGGCCAAUCAAACCGGGAGAUAGCUGGUUCUCCCCGAAAGCUAUUUAGGUAGCGCCUCGUGAAUUCAUCUCCGGGGGUAGAGCACUGUUUCGGCUAGGGGGCCAUCCCGGCUUACCAACCCGAUGCAAACUGCGAAUACCGGAGAAUGUUAUCACGGGAGACACACGGCGGGUGCUAACGUCCGUCGUGAAGAGGGAAACAACCCAGACCGCCAGCUAAGGUCCCAAAGUCAUGGUUAAGUGGGAAACGAUGUGGGAAGGCCCAGACAGCCAGGAUGUUGGCUUAGAAGCAGCCAUCAUUUAAAGAAAGCGUAAUAGCUCACUGGUCGAGUCGGCCUGCGCGGAAGAUGUAACGGGGCUAAACCAUGCACCGAAGCUGCGGCAGCGACGCUGAUGCGUUGUUGGGUAGGGGAGCGUUCUGUAAGCCUGCGAAGGUGUGUCGUGAGGCAUGCUGGAGGUAUCAGAAGUGCGAAUGCUGACAUAAGUAACGAUAAAGCGGGUGAAAAGCCCGCUCGCCGGAAGACCAAGGGUUCCUGUCCAACGUUAAUCGGGGCAGGGUGAGUCGACCCCUAAGGCGAGGCCGAAAGGCGUAGUCGAUGGGAAACGGGUUAAUAUUCCCGUACUUGGUGUUACUGCGAAGGGGGGACGGAGAAGGCUAUGUUGGCCGGGCGACGGUUGUCCCGGUUUAAGCGUGUAGGUGUGUGUUCCAGGUAAAUCCGGUUCACUUUAACACUGAGGCGUGAUGACGAGGCACUACGGUGCUGAAGCAACAAAUGCCCUGCUUCCAGGAAAAGCCUCUAAGCAUCAGGUAACAUCAAAUCGUACCCCAAACCGACACAGGUGGUCAGGUAGAGAAUACCAAGGCGCUUGAGAGAACUCGGGUGAAGGAACUAGGCAAAAUGGUGCCGUAACUUCGGGAGAAGGCACGCUGACACGUAGGUGAAGUGAUUUACUCAUGGAGCUGAAGUCAGUCGAAGAUACCAGCUGGCUGCAACUGUUUAUUAAAAACACAGCACUGUGCAAACACGAAAGUGGACGUAUACGGUGUGACGCCUGCCCGGUGCCGGAAGGUUAAUUGAUGGGGUCAGCGCAAGCGAAGCUCCUGAUCGAAGCCCCGGUAAACGGCGGCCGUAACUAUAACGGUCCUAAGGUAGCGAAAUUCCUUGUCGGGUAAGUUCCGACCUGCACGAAUGGCGUAAUGAUGGCCAGGCUGUCUCCACCCGAGACUCAGUGAAAUUGAACUCGCUGUGAAGAUGCAGUGUACCCGCGGCAAGACGGAAAGACCCCGUGAACCUUUACUAUAGCUUGACACUGAACAUUGAGCCUUGAUGUGUAGGAUAGGUGGGAGGCUUUGAAGUGUGGACGCCAGUCUGCAUGGAGCCGGCCUUGAAAUACCACCCUUUAAUGUUUGAUGUUCUAACGUGGACCCGUGAUCCGGGUUGCGGACAGUGUCUGGUGGGUAGUUUGACUGGGGCGGUCUCCUCCUAAAGAGUAACGGAGGAGCACGAAGGUUGGCUAAUCCUGGUCGGACAUCAGGAGGUUAGUGCAAUGGCAUAAGCCAGCUUGACUGCGAGCGUGACGGCGCGAGCAGGUGCGAAAGCAGGUCAUAGUGAUCCGGUGGUUCUGAAUGGAAGGGCCAUCGCUCAACGGAUAAAAGGUACUCCGGGGAUAACAGGCUGAUACCGCCCAAGAGUUCAUAUCGACGGCGGUGUUUGGCACCUCGAUGUCGGCUCAUCACAUCCUGGGGCUGAAGUAGGUCCCAAGGGUAUGGCUGUUCGCCAUUUAAAGUGGUACGCGAGCUGGGUUUAGAACGUCGUGAGACAGUUCGGUCCCUAUCUGCCGUGGGCGCUGGAGAACUGAGGGGGGCUGCUCCUAGUACGAGAGGACCGGAGUGGACGCAUCACUGGUGUUCGGGUUGUCAUGCCAAUGGCACUGCCCGGUAGCUAAAUGCGGAAGAGAUAAGUGCUGAAAGCAUCUAAGCACGAAACUUGCCCCGAGAUGAGUUCUCCCUGAGACUUAGAGUCUCCUGAAGGAACGUUGAAGACGACGACGUUGAUAGGCCGGGUGUGUAAGCGCAGCGAUGCGUUGAGCUAACCGGUACUAAUGAACCGUGAGGCUUAACCUUACAACGCCGAA
rnacentral:rRNA from 1 species